rnacentral:rRNA from 1 species
ACGCUCGACACCUACGGGAGGCAGCAGUGGGGAAUAUUGGGCAAUGGGCGCAAGCCUGACCCAGCAACGCCGCGUGAAGGAAGAAGGCUUUCGGGUUGUAAACUUCUUUUAUUAAGGACGAAGCAAUGACGGUACUUAAUGAAUAAGCUCCGGCUAACUACGUGCUAGCAGCCGCGGUAAUCUGAGCGGGCUGGCAAGGC